rnacentral:piRNA from 1 species
UGCUGUGCCUGUCAGUCAUCAGGUAC